UCUGCUCUGCUGCCAUCACUGCUGCCUCUGCCUCCCUUGCUGCUGUCGCUGCCUCCCUCGCUACUGCCGUUGCCUCCCUCUCUGCUGCCUCUGCUUUAAGUUGUUGCUGGAGUUCUUCAUAUUUUUGUUGAACCUCGACAAUUUGCUCAACCGUGUUCGCUUGCAUCUGAGCUAUCUGGUCUCUUAACCUCUGAACUUCAGCUUGAGCUUGACUUCCAGAAGGCAUGUAUUAUUGAGAGCCAGAUCCAAAAUAUUGGGUCGGGGUAACACCAGAUCCUUGAAAUUGAACCCGACCAUACCUUUCAGGACCCAAAACUUCAGUGAUAAUUCUACAAUCAAUGUUCUCAAGAUUAACAGAACUAUCAGUCGAAGCAAUCGCUUCAUAUUCCGCCUUCUUCUCCUUUAGUUUCUACUAAAAAAUCAAUUAAACAGUUAGAAACGAAAUAUAUAAUAAAAAGGAAUGCAACAUAACUUAACAUUAUUUAAAACUACUAAUGAUGAAUUGAAUUAAACAAUUAUAAUUAAACAUUAUAAAUAUUUAGAAUAAAUCAAAUAUUAUUAAGUAAAUAUACCAUAAUUUCUCCAGCUUCGGAUGUCAUAGGAG
rnacentral:lncRNA from 1 species